rnacentral:rRNA from 1 species
UGGGGAAUAUUGGACAAUGGGGGCAACCCUGAUCCAGCAAUGCCGCGUGUGUGAAGAAGGCCUGCGGGUUGUAAAGCACUUUCAGUGGGGAGGAAGGCCUUGGCGUUAAUAGCGCUGAGGAUUGACGUUACCCAAAGAAGAAGCACCGGCUAACUCUGUGCCAGCAGCCGCGGUAAUACAGAGGGUGCAAGCGUUAAUCGGAAUUACUGGGCGUAAAGGGUGCGUAGGUGGUUAAUUAAGUUGUAUGUGAAAACCCCGGGCUUAACCUGGGAAUUGCAUAUAAAACUGGUUAGCUAGAGUGCGGUAGAGGGAAGUGGAAUUUCCGGUGUAGCGGUGAAAUGCGUAGAUAUCGGAAGGAACAUCAGUGGCGAAGGCGACUUCCUGGACCGUUACUGACACUGAGGCACGAAAGCGUGGGGAGCGAACA